GAGCUCAGCCCAGUUCUUUUUGUUAAGAAGGCUAAGGCCACUGGUUACCAAGCAGCUUGUUUUAUGUGUCUGCAGUUAGCCUUUCUGUUUCCUUCUUCUUAGGCUAAAACUGGGUUCUGGACAUCUGCACAACCGGCACAAGGACAUUACAUUCAAACUCAGAGGAUUCAUAUUUUAGGUCUGCAAUGAGAAAUCUUCCUGAAAUUCAGGGUAAGCACCUCCAUUAUUAUUUGGACAUCAGCAAAUAAAAAUGAUUCCAACCAAGUUGUUACAGCCAUUGUCCUCAGUUUCUUUUGAAAGACAAACACAAUUUGCUGCGUGUCAAGAUCUCUCCUUUGCAAGAAACAAAUAUUUUAGGCUUAGAAACACUGACAGGAAGUGUGAUGUGCAGAGCAUCGGGCCACCAGAUUUCUCAGUGAAACUGUACAGCAGUCUGUCUACUUCAGAAAUAAGGGAAAGAAAGAAAAAUAUAAAGAUAGUUGCACCUCAGCCCAAAGAAAUGAAGAGGAGAUAUCAGACGUUUCUACCAAAUUCUCUGUCCUCGUGUCCAAAGAGAAAAGAACCUCCAAAGUUCAUCACUUCACACAGGCCUCCUGAUGCUCUGGAGACUGAACUGAUGUUUGUCAAGAUUGGAAAGUAUCAUUCUGGGACGUACAAGAACCACAAACCUCAUGACUUCAGACCACUUGAUGAGGAGCUUCCAGACAUGAUAACUGCACAUGAGAGAGAUCCUGGCAACUUGAAGUUAAAAUUAAAGCAUUUGGACACUUAGACACAAACAAAGAAGAGAAGCGUACAGUGCUUUCCUCGACCGUGUGGAAGAGAAACUUGGGAGAACCUGGAAAAAUAAACCGUGACUCUCUGUCGUCCUUUAGCCCUGUAGCUCUGAGGUUUUGAGACUUCUACAUCAUCAGUGUGAUUUUACUUUUUACAAUACAUUUUUAAGCAAUUAACUACACACAAAAGCCAGAUGUAGCAAAUGUUAUGUUUUCCUAUUUACUUAUCAGAAGGUUUAAUAAACAUUUGAAUAAACAAACCAGUUUCAAAA
ensembl:lncRNA